CGGCCGCCUCUGGGGCCACUUUCUGCCACCCGCUCUGGGAGCCAAACGUGCCCGUGGGCGAUUACCUAGAAGUGACCUCGGAAGAUCAAAACGGAACGACUUUGUUUCGUUCUCCCUCUCCAUCUCUUUCCCAGGAGUUCUUGAAACUUCACCGGAUGGGAACCUCAGUGCAAAAAAGAGACAUCCUCAAGAAGAAGUUGAACAAAUGAAGGCCUAUCUUAUAAUUGGUGUUUUUUUUUUUUUUUUAAGAAAUUUUAGCAGAGGUUAGAAAGAAGUCUAAUUAAAAAAAAAUAAUCAUCUUAUAAACUAGAAGAGAACCUCUAUAUUUGAAGAAACUGAGUUUGAAAGUUCUUUGGCUUGGCAGGUUGACAGUGCAGUUUGGAACAAGUCCCACUUCUUCUGGAUUACAUUUAUCAAAACUCGUCAAGGACUUUAGUGCUCUCCUUAAUCAUAUUUUUACAGUGAAAUCUCAUUAAUGUGCUUUCUACCAGUGCAUAAUUUAUAAUUAUUAAUAAGCAUUUGGGUUAUUUAAGAUUUAAAAUUUUGAAAUAAGGUGGGCACACUGAAAUAAUAUGAUAUAGAUCUCAGACAUUUAAUUGGCAUAACUCAUUGUUUAAUAUUAGUCUUCAUCUGUAUUUUAGCGCAUAUUCCCUGAAACAGCAAUAUUUUCAAUAAUAUCACUACAUAUCUUUCAAAAUUUCUUGUAAUUUGGGCUUUUAAAAAUUACCUGUACUUUCCCCCUAAUUUAGCCCCU
rnacentral:lncRNA from 1 species